rnacentral:rRNA from 1 species
UACAGAGGGGGCAAGCGUUGUUCGGAAUUACUGGGCGUAAAGGGCGCGUAGGCGGCCUGUUAAGUCGAACGUGAAAUCCCCGGGCUCAACCCGGGAACUGCGUCCGAUACUGGCAGGCUUGAAUCCGGGAGAGGGAUGCGGAAUUCCAGGUGUAGCGGUGAAAUGCGUAGAUAUCUGGAGGAACACCGGUGGCGAAGGCGGCAUCCUGGACCGGCAUAGACGCUGAGGCGCGAAAGCCAGGGGAGCAAACGGG